AUACGGAAGGUCCGGGCGUUAUCCGGAUUUAUUGGGUUUAAAGGGAGCGCAGGCGGAGAUGCAAGCGUGACGUCAAAUUUCGGGGCUCAACCCCGUCUCGCGUCGCGAACUGCGUCCCUUGGUUGCGGGAAGGGGAGGCGGAACUCGUGGUGUAGCGGUGAAAUGCAUAGAUAUCACGAAGAACUCCGAUCGCGAAGGCAGCCUUCCGGCCCGUCAACGACGCUCAUGCUCGAAGGUGAGGGUAUCAAACAGGAUUAGAUACCCUGGUAGUCCGCACAGUAAACGAUGGACACCCGCGGUUUGGCCUGUAUGGCUGAGCCGCCAAGCGAAAGCGUUAAGUGUCCCACCUGGGGAGUACGCCGGCAACGGUGAAACUUAAAGGAAUUGACGGGG
rnacentral:rRNA from 1 species